UACGUAGGAGACGAGCGUUGUCCGGAGUUACUGGGCGUAAAGGGUGCGCAGGUGGCGGCGCGCGUGGGGGGGUGAAAUCGCCCGGCUUAACUGGGCGGGGGCCUUCCAGACGGCGUGGCUUGAGCAGCGGAGGGGGACGUGGAAUUCCGGGUGGGGCGGUGAAAUGCGUAGAGAUCCGGAGGAACACCGACGGCGCAGGCAGCGUCCUGGCCGCUUGCUGACACUGAGGCACGAAAGCUGGGGGAGCAAACAGG
rnacentral:rRNA from 1 species